UUGCAGAUGUUGGCGUGUUGUAUUGGCAUUUGGACCCUAAGAAGUCUGAAAGCGAGGAGGAACUAGCAAAAAUCCGCAGAGACAGAGGAUACAGUUACAUGGAUCUUAUUGAGAUAUGUCCCGACAAACUGGAAAACUAUGAGGAGAAGGUGAAUAACUUCUUCCGUGAGCACAUGCACGCUGACGAAGAGAUCCGCUAUUGCUUGGAGGGCAGCGGGUACUUUGACGUCCGCGACAAAGAUGACAAGUGGAUUCGAAUUCGGAUAAGGGAAGGAGACAUGAUCAUCCUACCAGCUGGAAUUUAUCAUCGUCUCACCCUCGACAGCGCUAAAUACACGAAGCUCAUGAGGCUUUUCAUUGGGGAACCAGUCUGGACCGCAUUAAACCGCCCUCAGGAGGACCACCCGGCGAGGCAAGAGUAUGUCAAGAAUGUGAGUGCGGGCACUGGAUUUGCUCUUGCAGCUCACU